rnacentral:rRNA from 1 species
UAACGCGUAAAGAACUUGCCUCACAGCUAGGACAACAUUUGGAAACGAAUGCUAAUACCUAAUAUUAUGAUAAUAGGGCAUCCUAUAAUUAUGAAAGCUAUAAGCGCUGUGAGAGAGCUUUGCGUCCCAUUAGCUAGUUGGAGAGGUAACGGCUCACCAAGGCGAUGAUGGGUAGCCGGCCUGAGAGGGUGAUCGGCCACAAGGGGACUGAGACACGGCCCUU